ensembl:lncRNA LUCAT1 lung cancer associated transcript 1
AAUCAACACUCCACUCAGACAAUGCCCAGACCUCCAGAAACCAUGUGUCAAGCUCGGAUUGCCUUAGACAGGUGCAAUUUAAGAACAGCUUUCAUCCUCUUUUCUCUCAUAUUGUCACACUAUGUGUUCUGACUUCUGGCUCCUUUCCUCACAAGAAGCUCACCCAGCUGGAACUCUUAUGGGACCUUGGCACCAGAGACCACAAAUUCCUCUUUGAAGUUUUCUAACAGCAACAAUGGUAUUUCUGACUUGGCUUUCUUGUAUUUCUCUCACGUUAACAAAAUUGGUUCAGCAUCUACCAUGGGCUACAUGCUGAGCUACAGAGUUUCGCUCUGUCGCCCAGGCUGGAGUGCAGUGGCGCGCGAUCUCGGUUCACUGCAAGCUCCACCUCCCGGGUUCACGCCAUUCUCCUGCCUCAGCCUCCUGAGUAGCUGGGACUACAGGCGCCCGCCACCACACCCAGCUUGAAAUAACACGGUGCUAAGCAUGGAUUUUUCCACCGAAUGAGGAAAUUCUAAUUCUAAUUGUUAGUCUCUUUAUCAAUGACGCCAAGUGGCAAGGAACAUCACCAUCUUUGGAGACCUAGUGGUGGAGUUAAACUACUACAGGGAAACAACUUUACGUAUAGAGGAGUUGAGCUUCCUAGAGGAAAAGAAGGAAAAUCAUUCCUAAUGGAAGAUCAACUAUUCAAGAAAGAAAGAAGAGCAAUGAGAAAGGGAACUGCCACAGCCACCUCAACCUUCAGCAAACACCACCCUGACCAGUGAGUGGCAAUCAACAUUGAGGCAAGACCUUUCAGCAAAAAGAUUAUAAUUCUCUGAAGACUCAGAUGAUCAUUAGCAUUUCUAGCAACAAUGUAUUUUUAAAUUAAGAUAUUUGAUGUGAUUCACCAGUACAGCCAUAUGAAGAUGAUAUUUUGAUUUUAGGAAUGUUUCAUUACAAAUGCAAUUCCUUCAACAGAGAAUGUCUCUGACGGCACUUCACUGACAGCUGAAUCAAGGCCAAUUCUAUGCCUCUGAGGAAUGCAGAGCAUACUUCAGGCUCUCCUGUUGCACAACACCCAAGUGAGCACCCAAGUGGUGGCUCUGGACCAAGAAUUGGACUGUUACAGCUACUGCCUACCAACAUAGGGUGUUCUGAGAGACAGGUUACAGCUACUGCCUAUCAACACAGGGUGUUCUGAGAAACAGCAAAGACACUUCGUUUCUGAAAAUGGCGAUCUGAGAACUUUAGAAAUGAACUUGAGAGGAAAAGAUGAACCUUAAAAAAUUUCACUAGGAAGUUGAACAUCUAGACCAGCAGUGUCCAAUAAAACUUUCUGCACUGAUACAAAUGUGUUAUAUCUGUGUUCUCCAAUAUGGCAGCUACCAAACACAUGUGGCUGUUGAGCACUUAAAAUGUGGUGAGGGUGAAUGAUAAACUGACUCUUUAAUGUUGCCUAACUUUAGUUUAAAUUUAAAUAGCCACAUGCAGCUAAUGGUUAUUGUAUUGAACAGUUCAGAUGUAAACAAAUGCUGGACUGAGCAACCAUUCAAAAAAAAUUUUAAGAUUCAUUUCUGAAUUCUUGAUCCUAAAAAAGUCCCUGUUUCCAUUGGGCCUGCUGUGAUGAAAUAAGUCUAUUUUAAGAACUUUGGGGAUAGAGAAAUCGUACUAGAUUUCCAAAAAAUUAAGGAUACUAAAGAUAUAGGUUGAUUUUUAAAGACUGUACUUGAACUUAUUCAUUUUAUAACUCAAAUUUUGUACCCUUUGAUCAAAAUCCUUCAUUUCUUUCACCCCCAGCACCUGACAACCACCUUUCUACUCUGUUUCUGUUACUAGUUAAUAAUUCUGUAUAUAAAAAUUUCUCAUUCAAACUAAAAAUAUAUAUAGUACUUGAAUUGUGAAUAUUUACCUUAAUUUUAACCUAACAUAAA